UGGUGUUGUCCUAACACUUG
rnacentral:siRNA from 1 species